rnacentral:rRNA from 1 species
UAGUCGGACGAGUUUAGACUCGUGGCAGAUAGCUCAGUAACACGUGGCCAAGCUACCCUUCAGUCGGCAAUACCCUCGGGAAACUGAGGUUAACGGCCGAUGUGGGACGCCUGCUGGAAUGCAGCGUUCUCUAAAGGCGACGCUGAAGGAUGCGGCUGCGGCCGAUUAGGUAGACGGUGGGGUAACGGCCCACCGUGCCAGUAAUCGGUACGGGUGAUGAGAGUGAGAACCCAGAGACGGUAUCUGAGACAAGAUACCGGGCCCUACGGGGCGCAGCAGGCGCGAAACCUUUACACUGCACGACAGUGCGAUAAGGGGACUCCGAGUGCGAGGGCAUACAGUCCUCGCUUUUCUGUACCGUAGGGUGGUACAGGAACAAGUGCUGGGCAAGACCGGUGCCAGCCGCCGCGGUAAUACCGGCAGCACGAGUGAUGGCCGAUAUUAUUGGGCCUAAAGCGUCCGUAGCUGGCCGGACAAGUCCGUUGGGAAAUCCACCCGCUUAACGGGUGGGCGUCCAGCGGAAACUGUCCGGCUUGGAGCCGGAAGAUCCGAGGGGUACGUCCGGGGUUANGAGUGAAAUCCCGUAAUCCUGGACGGACCGCCGGUGGCGAAAGCGCCUCGGAAGAACGGACUCGACAGUGAGGGA